rnacentral:tRNA from 12 species
GGAGAGGUGGCAGAGUGGUCGAAUGUACCUGACUCGAAAUCAGGCGUGGUGGCAACAUCACCGAGGGUUCGAAUCCCUCCCUCUCCGCCA